UGCUCAGACUCAACCAUGGGGCCAUUUCCCCUCGCCUGCGUGAAGGUAAACUUUUACCCACCAUCGCGUCUUCUCGCCGUGACCGUGCGGAGCUGUCAUUGAUGCCAACUCGCCGCUCGCACACCUGCUUCUCUUUUUCUUUUUUCUCUUCAGUGAUAAUUGCUGCCAGUAUAGCAGGAGCGAUGCAGCAGAAACGGGGGCUGAAGUGGCGAUAGAUCCUGUUGAAUUGAGACAAGACGUCGAGACGCAGCCAAAAAGUGUCCUCCUCGGAGUGCGUCAGAGCACGGAUGUAUAUAGUGGAUGAUAUGCUCGCUGGUUGGAUACGACGAGGGAUUUGUGAUAUUACCCCCCUAAAUCAAUACCGAAAUUUGGGCAGAAGCGAAGAGCUGCAUCCUCACCUAGCCUACCUCCCCCUCAUCCUCCAGCAGAUUUAUUUGUAGGGGGGCUGAGGCGAUCUCGUUUGGCCCCUUUUCACAUCUCCAGAGAGCGUCAGCGGGGUGAAGUCCUUCACAUUCACCGGAGCUCCGAAAUAUAACAGCAAAAGAUCCAGUUUUUUUCCUCUCAUCACAUAAAAUGGCAACCAGGAGUGACCACGGAGGAUCAAAAGACGCAUUUGGGCGCAAGAAGCCGCGGUCGUGGAGGAUUUAACCACCUGAUGGGCACCGGAGACACCGAGGAGAGACUGUUUCAGUUGUAGCUUGUUGACUUGGUGAUUUAUAAUGCUGAACAAAUAAAGGGCGCUGCAAGUUUGACACAGAGCGCCUGCGUAACAGGCUAUGCCACCGGCCCUCACAUUUUUUGGUUAUGGUAAUGAUGUCAUAAAAUAUUUGGAGGCCUGUGCCUGAGCGGGAAGACAGGCUGAUCAAUAUCUCCUAUCAUGUAAGUAGCCACAUGGACUGCUCUCAGCAUGGACUUAAUUGAGGUGCGUUUGUUGCUCUGACAUUCUCAUAUUCACAACUGAUUGGUUGAUGCCUCAUUUUCUCUGUGUGCGCGCGCCGAGCUGCAACUUUUAUCCUCUGGCCUGCAUCCACGUCGCCCUGAGGCGGUUACUGUAGCGCUCACGGACCGAACCUCUCAUUGACUUAAAAUGGAGUUUGCCAUGGUGGGUGCGGACGGCGGGUGCAAUAGUCACCUGCCGUACGGAUAUGCCCAAGCUCGCGCACGGGAGAGGGAGCGCGAGAGGGAGCGCCAGGCUGCCCAUUCGAGAGCGGCGGCUGCCGCGGCCGCUGCCGAAGGUGGGUCCGGUGCGGAGGGAGGAGGAGGAGGAGGCGGCAGCGGUAGCGGUAGCGGCGGUGGUGGCAGCGGCAGCGGCAGUGGUGGCGGCGGCUGCGGCGGCGGCGUGGGGGGCUCCACCUCCACCUUCUCCUCGAGCGCUCAUCUCCUUAACAACCGCCAGCAUCAGUCUCGCGCCGCCUCCUCAGCGAACGCCAACAUCAGCAGCGGCGGUACCGCCUCGCGCCCCUCCUCCUCCUCCACCUCCUCGCAGCCGCCACAGCACCAGCAGGAGCCCGAGCAGCAGCAGCAGCAGCAGCAGCAGCAGAGAGUUGUCAGAGAGCGGAAAAAGCAGCGCGGCGUCGGACGGUGGAGACGCAACCGGACGACUCUCGGCGGGGACCUGCGCCACUCGGAGCUGGCGCUGCUCGGAUCCGAGGAGGACAUCAUGAUAGAGGAGGAAGAGGCCGAGGGAGCGGAGGAAGAGGAGGAGGAGGAGGAGGGGGACCGGGGAAGCAAGAGGUCGAGUUUUCUGUGUAACAUGGAUGAUGAGGAGGAGACCGUGUCGCUCACUGACAGGCGCCCUCAGUCCGGAUACGAAAAUGUUUACAGCGAGUGCGGCUGCUGUGAGAGAGUUGUCAUCAACGUGUCGGGACUCAAGUUUGAAACUCAGCUCAAGACUCUCACUCAGUUCCCGGACACUCUCCUGGGAGACCCCGACAAGCGAAUCAGGUACUUCGACCCGCUGAGGAACGAAUACUUCUUCGAUCGGAACCGACCGAGCUUUGACGCCAUUCUUUACUAUUACCAGUCAGGGGGGCGGUUGAAAAGACCCGUCAACGUCCCGUUUGACAUCUUCUCCGAGGAGGUGAAGUUUUAUGAACUCGGGGAAGAGGCGAUCCUCAAGUUUCGGGAAGAUGAGGGUUUUGUCAAAGAGGAGGAGAAGCCUCUCCCGGAGGACGAGUUCAAGCGCCAAAUUUGGCUGCUUUUUGAGUAUCCGGAGAGCUCGAGCCCUGCCCGGGGCAUCGCGGUCGUGUCCGUCCUUGUUAUAGUAAUUUCUAUUGUCAUUUUCUGCCUGGAGACGCUGCCAGAGUUCAGGGAUGAAAAAGAGUAUCUACAGCCACGACACAACUCCACUCAACCUGACCACGGAUUUACUCCUUUCAACGACCCGUUUUUCAUCGUGGAGACGGUUUGCAUCAUCUGGUUCUCCUUUGAGAUUAUAGUCCGCUUCUUUGCGAGUCCGAGCAAACCGGCUUUCUUUAAAAACAUUAUGAACUCAAUAGACAUUGUAUCCAUUUUGCCUUAUUUCAUAACUCUCGGCACGGACCUGGCGCAGCACCAAGGCAACGGGCAGCAGGCGAUGAGCUUUGCCAUCCUGAGAAUAAUCCGCCUUGUCAGGGUGUUUCGCAUCUUCAAGCUGUCCAGGCACUCCAAGGGGCUGCAGAUCCUGGGUCAUACCCUGCGCGCCAGCAUGAGGGAGCUGGCCCUCCUCAUAUUCUUCCUGGUCAUCGGUGUCAUCCUGUUCUCCAGCGCGGUGUACUUCGCCGAGGCGGACGAGCCCACGUCGCAGUUCACGAGCAUCCCCGACGCGUUUUGGUGGGCCGUGGUGACCAUGACGACGGUGGGCUACGGUGACAUGAAGCCCAUCACCGUGGGGGGGAAGAUAGUGGGCUCCCUGUGCGCCAUCGCGGGCGUGUUAACCAUCGCGCUCCCGGUGCCGGUCAUAGUGUCCAACUUCAACUACUUUUACCACAGGGAGACCGACAACGAGGACCAGACGCCGGUGGUGGAGAGCAUGCCCCCGGGGUGCCCGUAUUUCCCAGACUUUUUAAGGAAAUUCAAAGGCUCGCCGUCGGGCUCCUCUCUGGGUGACAAAGCGGAGUAUAUGGAGAUGGAGGAGGGGGUGACGGAGUCGCUUUGCGGGCUGGACAAGAGCCCCAGUAAAGGAAACGGCACAGACAUAGGCAGGAAAAACAGUACUAACUCCAAAUCCAUUCAGACUGACGUGUGAUUACAAGUAGAGUUUCCCUUUUUUCUUUUUUCCCUAAAGAAGAAUACACCCUAUAAAGACACUGUAUGCCUAAGAGCAGGUGGUCCCCAUGACACAAGUUUUACGCACGCCACAGAGCCCCACACACACGCACAAACACACACACUCACAGGCCACCAAUUGGCAGGUUGAAAUGUUUCAUUUGCUCCAUCUCAGACUAGUAUCUCCCACAACUUUUAGAGAAGUAAAAAUAUCAUCAAUGAGUUUAUUAAUGAAUUCGUCUAACCUGUGCGGGCUUCCAAAUCUGACAUCAAAUUUAAAGUCUACAUGACAGGCUAUGCAUUCGCACUUUAUGAGUUUCAUCUGUCAAUAACAGAGAGGAGGUGGGGACGAUGGUUUUGCUGUUAUGCAAUAAAGUUAAAAAAAAAAUUUGUUUGCACUAAUGUAGAAUUUGCGCUGGGUUCGGCUGAUUUUUAUUUCAGAGACAGAAACUGUAGGCCAUGCAAAUGGCAAUAAUUAAGUCAUCCUCUGGCCACUUAGCUGAAGAAUGUUUGAGGAACUUCCUCAAAGAGAGCAACCUAAUGAUAUUAAUAACCUCUUUCAUGCGCUGCCAGUAAAAAAAAUAAAAAUUGGAGUCCAAUAAAGGAAAAGCCUGAGACAGAUAAAAGACUUUUGUUACUGUUCCAACACUUAAUAUGAACAAAGAGCUCAUUGAUAAGACACAGCAUUUAGCAGUCAUCAAAUAAACCAGGGCUAGAAUUAUUUCUAUGACAUCUACACAAAUAUGCUUUUCCACACAAAAGCCUUGUGUUGUUGACCCACUAUGAGAGCUAAGCACAGGAAACAUCUGAGUUAAAAAAAAAAUGGCUGGAGAAAUGACUUGCCCCGCCAGGUUUUGUAUGGACAGGCUUGGAGCCUUGGCGACAACAGUCUCCCCAGUUUCAUUUAAACCACCUCAAAAUGACAAUAUCCCUUUACACGGACGCAGAUGGAAAGCUAUAGCAAAAACGACUCUGUUGUGGAAAACUCCUCGGAGGGGAGCUUGCGAGCAACUUCCUCUCCUGUCCGCUGGACUUCGUGCACAAAAUUUCUUUUUUUUCUCAAGAGGACUAUGAUUAUCUCCGAGCUCAGAGGAUCUCCGGGAUGUGGAUGUCUUCCAAGCGCUGCCAGCUACAGGGAGAGGGAGUAUCCCCCACAUCUCUGGAAAUUGCAGAGAACAAGCAAAACAUUGGGACUGGUCAUCUCGAGCACGAGCAGAGACUGAAAAAGCAACAACUGGACUCGGGACUCGGCACUUGAACAAGUGGGGAUGAGAGCUGCUGUGUGACAUCAGUAAACAAACCCUCGAGGGUUGAGACUGGAGUUGGCAAAUGAGUAAGUCGUGGCCCAAAAUGAUUGCCUUAAUUACUACACAUAUACAGAUGUAUGAAGUAAUGAAACUAAGAGACUUAUAGUUCAAAGUUUAAAGAUGUUUUCUUUACAUGUGAAAAAAAGUGUCUUGUAAGGAACAGAUGUGAAUAUUUUAAUAUGAUAGAGAUAAUGUUUGGUUGUAAUGUCGACAUAAUGUUUUAGUUGGGUCGGCUUCGUAGGUGUCAUUGGUUACUAAAUGGUGAGUUUGCUCUCUGCUUAUGUGCAGUCAGCACUACGACUUAAUCUAUUUUUAUCUUGUUUCAUAUUGUCAACCAAACAAGGCUGGCCUGAGUUGCUCACUCAAACGCUGGCGACAAACUCUUAAUUCACAUCGUGUCAUAACACAUGAAACUCCUCAUUCAGAAAGUGUAUAGAGGGUCGAGAGAGAAGACAUAUAUUGACUGGCUCAAUGCGACACACUGAAACACAUCACAAGAACAUCCUCUCACAUUACGAUCCACUUACACUAAAGCAAAGAUGUCAGGCAUAUAAACACCAUCAUAAAUAUCUGCCACACUCACUUUCUAUCACAGAAAAACAGCGGGUGAAACUCGCAGGGGCUUUCACCGUAAAGACGAAAUACCUUAGGUUUUUUUCUCAGAUGCAAAUUUAGAGCUGACCAGCUGCUUUGUUGAUAUGUUUUCACUUUAACUGUAUGCAAAAGUAACAUGGACGUGUGUUAUAUAUUUUUUUAAACCUAGCCUUGAUAAUUACAUAACCAAAGGUGAAACCCUGAAUUUAUUGUAUGUUGUGGACUUCUGGAAAAUGUCGUGAUAUAGAUGCACACUGAAUAGGAUAAAAAAAUGUAAAUAGCAGACAUUUAUACUUGUGUGUCCUAAGAUGUGUUGCAGAUAGAGUAAUUUGAGACUUUUUACUUUCUUUGACUGUUAUGACCAUCGACCAUGCUCAUCUGUGUUUGGUUUGUCCUCGCUGAUACAAUCAUGUUCCUCAUAUUGUUGCAAAUGCUGCUCCAACAUUCUUUGUUGUUUUUGGCCAUUUAUUUUCUUCUUUAUUUUAUUUUUUUUAAUUCACCUUCUCAUUCAUUUGGCAGACUAAAACACGAGGUUGCUGAUGUUGUUUGUGGAGCUUUGUCAGAGAAGCGUUGGACACAGUUACCUCUCUAAGACCUGCGAUGUUGCCCAUGAAUGAAAUGAUUACACGUUGCCAGGUUUUACUUAAGUUUUUGGCAGUAGUUGUGAGAUAGAUGACACAUCCUAAUAAAAAUAGUGUUUUAUUUUCCUAUAUUUCCCUUCAGAAAUCAUCCUUUGACAUACUGUGUUAACUAUAUGGGCACUUGAAUUAAAGCUCUUGGUCCUAGUGUCUUUUUCCUCUACUCCUAAAGAAAAUCCAAAGUUCACGUUCUUGCUCCUUUCCCAAAAUUUCGUAUCUGUAAUUACCUCAAUAAUAGUAUCCCUCAGACCAGCUGUUCACUGAAUGUUCCAGAUGUUUCCGUAGUGUCACAAGAAAACUUGUAACCACAGAAUAGCCACAAUAGUUUUAAAUAGAUGUCAAUAGUUUCUUUAGGGAAUCCUUACGGGGAGGAUGUUUUUUAUUCUUUUGAGGUUUUCAUCUCUGCAUAUCAAAGGUUUACGGAAUACCAGAAUACUCCAGCAGAGCUUCAGGAUUUUUAAAUGUGCAAAGUUUUUGCCUCUUAAAAAGUUACAUGAAAAUAAAAGUCGGAUUGAAAUGAAGAAGAAAAUGUCAGUGGGAGAACAACUCUUUAAAAAUCAAGUUAAUGUAAAGAUGAAGUAUCAGUCCCAUUAGUCAGGGAAUAGAAAAGUAAUAACGGCAAAACAAAUUUUACAGCAAUGUAUGUUUUUGUUUGUUUUGUUUUUGUUUUGUUGAUUUGGCAGAUGAACCGAAUCACCACUAUGAGAUUAAAUACAAACAGUACAGCUCUGUCAUUAACACUUUCUACUACAAACCAGCAGGCAUGAAAUGAAUCUUUAAGGUUGCCAAGACUUCGAUGAGUAGUAUAAACAUGAAGCUACAGCCAGCAACCAGUUAGCUUAGCAUAAAGACAUAUCAGAAUUUUAAAUUUAUCCAUUUGAUAAUUCUGGAUUACGACCUCCAGCAUUUGGAUCAUGUAGUGCGGUACCUGUUGGGUACCUGGCAGGCUCAGGGUGACAACAAGACCUCAAGAACUGUCUUCACACUUUGGCUUUUGUAGGAAUUAAACAAUCGAGAUGUGAAUUGUUGAGCUUUAAAGUUGCCAGCAAGCAAAGGCUGCACGAUAUGAGGAAAAUAUCUGAUGACGUUGUUGAAUAUGGCGACAACAACAGUUCUUGGGAUAAAUUAACAGAUAUUCAUAUGAGCUCAGUUCU